AGCAGGAUAGUGAAGUGUGGCAGUAAAUUGUCUGUGCUGUCAUGCAGGUCUAGUGCACUGAGUCCCUCCUCACAGGUAGAGGUAAUUGGCAGUAGCAGGGUGACAUCAGCCACUCCUCUUCUCCUCCGUCCGCAGUGAAAAUGACGCCUGGUGUUUACUACUAAUUGUCUCUAAUGACAGUCCUGGCAGAAUCGUCCAUGUCUGUGGCUCAAAACACACUUUUACACUUUGUUUCAAAGUUAAUGAAGAGCCACCUUGGGUCGGAGGUGAGUCGGCACAUACUCUGCCACGAUGAGUCCUCAUGUGUGAACAAGCCUAUGAGCAAGUCACCCCCUCGUCUGAGACUGGGACUGGGUAUCUGACAAGUGUGACACGACUGAAAAAGAGCAUCAGCCAAUGAGAGGCGGGAUACGUCCCACCUCAGCACGCAGGAGGAUGGAAUAAAUGUGAGGAGGACAAGCCGGCAAGCAACAACAGCAAGCAACAACAACAAUGGUGGCGUCCACAGGAGCACGGGGAGUGCUUUGUGUUUGGACCCAGGCCCUGGAGGCAGAUCAAAUUCAACACUGGGAGGAAUAAUCAUGCCUUUACAAUGUGUCAUCUCCAAGUUACCACGACCGUCUGGAGAAAGAAAAGACAUGGAGGGCGAUUGCAAGACGGGCUGCAGUUGAAGAAGUGAAGACAAGGGUGGCAAGUGUGCGCACACGAUUCUCUCGGCUUAUCAAGCAGAGACCAAGUGGGAGUGGGACCAAGCCCUUAACUACAAGGCAGAGGUGGCUUCUGGUGGCUCUGGAUUUCAUUAAAAAGCACAUUGUCCAAUGUGCGUGAGAGACAACUCUGAAUUUACCAUGUCAUAAGGAGUCUUUGAACCCGGACCUGUCAGAAAAUCCAGAUUCAUCUCCACCGUCACUAUCUACAUGUACCACAUUGCCAUCUCCAUCUUCCCCCGCUACACCAGAUGAAGGCGCUCCUCCUGCAGCUCCUCCAAGAGGAAGGUAACGCAGGAGGGAGGAUGACAACGAAACACAAAAGCUU